CCGAAAAGGAAUCAAAGGCACAACUAACCUGUAACAAGUGUGCUCAGUCAUGAAGUGGAUACAAGCUAAAGCUCCAUUAGCUCUCUCAGGCAGCUGUCAGAGAGAUCGUGUCAUCAUUCAGGAGGCUGCAGCAGCGUGGGCCAAACACAAACCAGGCAUCUCCUGCUGGGAGACUCCAGAUCUGUGCAGCAGGAACCCUGCAGGCUCCCAUUAUCUGCAUUAGCAUUGCUGUGUGGGACAUGGAUUAUGUCUGGUGUGAGUGGUUUAACCAGCCAGGCCCUCCUGGUUAAUGGACAUCAAGUUUAAUGAUUCUGAGACAGAGAUUCAUAAAGGAAUAUGAGCGUGAUCACAUCCAGUUGAAAAUG